UACAGAGGGUGCAAGCGUUAAUCGGAAUUACUGGGCGUAAAGCGUGCGUAGACGGUAGCGUAAGUCGGGUGUGAAAGCCCCGGGCUCAACCUGGGAAUGGCAUUCGAGACUGCUCUGCUAGGGUGCGGAAGAGGGGAGCGGAAUUUCCGGUGUAGCGGUGAAAUGCGUAGAUAUCAAGAGGAACACCAGUGGCGAAGGCGAGUCCCUGGACAACUUCUGACGCUGAGGCACGAAAGCUAGGGAGCAAACAGG
rnacentral:rRNA from 1 species